rnacentral:rRNA from 1 species
GACGAACGCUGGCGGCGUGCUUAACACAUGCAAGUCGAGCGGUAAGGCCCUUUCGGGGGUACACGAGCGGCGAACGGGUGAGUAACACGUGGGUGACCUGCCCUCAGCUCUGGGAUAAGCCCGGGAAACUGGGUCUAAUACCGGAUAUGACUCCAUGACGCAUGUUGUGGGGUGGAAAGCCUUGUGCGGCUGAGGAUGGGCCCGCGGCCUAUCAGCUUGUUGGUGGGGUGAUGGCCUACCAAGGCGACGACGGGUAGCCGGCCUGAGAGGGCGACCGGCCACACUGGGACUGAGACACGGCCCAGACUCCUACGGGAGGCAGCAGUGGGGAAUCUUGCGCAAUGGGCGAAAGCCUGACGCAGCGACGCCGCGUGAGGGAUGACGGCCUCGGUGUAAC